GACGAACGCUGGCGGCGUGCUUAACACAUGCAAGUCGAACGGAAAGGCCCUGCUUUUGUGGGGUGCUCGAGUGGCGAACGGGUGAGUAACACGUGAGUAACCUGCCCUUGACUUUGGGAUAACUUCAGGAAACUGGGGCUAAUACCGGAUAGGAGCUCCUGCUGCAUGGUGGGGGUUGGAAAGUUUCGGCGGUUGGGGAUGGACUCGCGGCUUAUCAGCUUGUUGGUGGGGUAGUGGCUUACCAAGGCUUUGACGGGUAGCCGGCCUGAGAGGGUGACCGGCCACAUUGGGGAUGAGAUACGGCCCAGACUCCUACGGGAGGCAGCAGUGGGGAAUAUUGCACAAUGGGCGGAAGCCAGAUGCAGCAACGCCGCGUGCGGGAUGAAGGCCUUCGGGUUGUAAACCGCUUUCGCCUGUGACGAAGCGUGAGUGACGGUAAUGGGUAAAGAAGCACCGGCUAACUACGUG
rnacentral:rRNA from 1 species